rnacentral:lncRNA from 1 species
UGAAAAUAUCUCUAUGUCUCAAAAGCCCAGGUAUUCUCUUCUUUUCUUUGCACACUUCUCUCCUCCUCAACGUGAUGGUCAUUAGGAUUUCUUAAUGCUUGUUGAGUCUAAUUUAAAUUCAUGUUUGUUCACAGUUUUUAUCUUAGCCAAUAAUGCUUAGAGUUUCUUUGAAUUAAUUUAUUACUAUUAUGUAUUCAAUUGCAUAUAAUGCAAUUGGAGUGUUAAGAAAGGUAUAAACAGGGGUUCAAGUAUUCGUUAGACCAACUAGCAAGCUACGGAAGCUCUUACCUUGCAUGAACUGUCAGUUUGUAUUAUUCGUUUAACUAUUCUAAAUAUUUGUUCCUUUUUUUUAUUGAAAGCAGGAGAAAAAAAAUUCAAAUCAUUCUUUUUUAAUUGUAUGGAAAUUAUUCUUUUUUAAUACAACAUUGGUUUAGGCAUCAAUCGGAUCUUAUAGCUUUAAUAGUGUACGUGAAUAAAACUUCUUGCUUUACGAAUGUAGGUCUAGAAAUAAGUGGUCAGCUGAACUUGGCAACAAGGAUCCAGGUGGCUUAUGUGGCUCUCAAGCAUCGCUUGAAGGUAACACAAUAAUAAAGGAUUAUUGUAUUCAAGGUAGGGUAAUCUCUACUUCUAAUAAUUUCAUUAUCCUCAAUAUUUUUCUUCUUUUGUUUUG